rnacentral:rRNA from 1 species
AUUGAACGCUGGCGGCAUGCCUUACACAUGCAAGUCGAACGGUAACAGGUCUUCGGAUGCUGACGAGUGGCGAACGGGUGAGUAAUGCAUCGGAACGUGCCCAGUUGUGGGGGAUAACUGCUCGAAAGAGCAGCUAAUACCGCAUACGACCUGAGGGUGAAAGCGGGUGAUCGCAAGACCUCGCGCAAUUGGAGCGGCCGAUGUCCGAUUCGGUAGUUGGUGGGGUAAAGGCCUACCAAGCCGACGAUCUGUAGUUGGUCUGAGAGGAUGACCAGCCACACUGGGACUGAGACACGGCCCAGACUCCUACGGGAGGCAGCUGUGGGGAAUUUUGGACAAUGGGCGCACGCCUAAUCCAGCAAUGCCGAGUGCAGAAAGAAGCCCUACGGGUUGUAAUCUACUUAUGUUAGGUAAGAAAUCCGCUGGGUUAAUACCCCGGGGGGAUGACGGUACCUGAAGAAUAAGCACCUGCUAACUACGUGCCAGCAGCCGCCGUAAGAC